GCUGGGAUAGCUCAGUCAGUAGAGCACGAGACUCUUAAUCUCAGGUGGAUCCGAGCCCCACGUUGAGCA